rnacentral:ribozyme from 1 species
GUCUGAGCCUGGAGGACGAGGAAGAAGAAACAGCUGAAACCGAAGCAAAAGAAGAAACAAAAGAAGAAAAAGUAGAGAAAGAAGAAAGCCACAUGGAAGUAGUCGAUCUGCUUCUUGUGUUUUCUGUUUUGCGUUAAUGUUUCUUGUUUAUUGUUGUCCGUUUUCCUUGUUCACAAAUAGAAGACAUGAUAUAUCCUUGUUUGUUAUAUCUUUGUUGAAUUGAAAGGAAAAAGGAGAGUAAGUGAGU